ensembl:lncRNA
CCUUCCUAAAAUAGUAUAUAAGCAUGUGAGGAACUGCAUUGACUUGUUUGUUCAUCAAAAGUAUGAAAUUAGGAUAAAAGGGGGGGAAGUCGGGACAUGGAAUUUGCAGGCUUGACUGGUAACCACAAACAAAGAUUGUGAAAGAUUUUGCAGGACUGGCUGGAACUGAUAAACGCAGUGGAAACCCAUUGUUGCUGAAACUGAUAACCUCAGUGGAAGGAGACUCACCACCCCCAUUUGUGAAACCCAUUGUUGCUGGAACUGAUAACCACGGUGGAAGGAGACCCAUCACCCCCACUUAUGCAGGAUAAAAAGGGACUGAAGAGAAGGAAAGGUUGUCAGCUUUUGGCGGAACACAGGCUCCGCAGCUGCACCCAGCGCUGUUUGCUUGCUAUCGCUUGCUGUAAUUAAUAAAAUUAUUAAUUGAUCUUAAAAGGCUGAAUCAAAUUAUUCGCCUCAAUUUAUAACAAGCAUAGAUGGUCCAGAAUAAAUUUGGACUCUUUUGACCAUCUCACAGUCUCCUCGUCUCUCUCAUCAUCACCAAUAAUUGAUGUUCCAGGUGAGAAGAAGGAACAGCCUAUCUGGCUGCAAUCAGCGAGCCCCCAGAACUGGAAGUGCUGGUGUGAGAACCAAGAAUGAGCCUGAAACAAUCCAUCCAUGGAGAAAGAAGAGUGGCUGCAGCCAUCAACCUCACUCCUGCCCAGACAAAGGAGGGGAAGUCAUCCUUUCUCGCAGUCGUUAGCAGUUUAUAUUGCUGUACAAACUGUACAGGGCUCUAGGAUUGAGGAGGAGGGGGAGCCUUUUGAUCCAGAACUGAUAGAUUCAGAUUAUGAAACAGUUCUAUUCCCUCCUGACCCUCAUGAUAACUGGAUGCAAUUAAAGAAAAAGGCUCUUAAGGAGGGGGACUCCCAAACGUGCUUUGGGUGCUGGAAAUCUGGGCAUUUGAAAAAGGACUGUGUCAAAAAGGGGGAGGAGGCCAGGUCCAAAACUCCCAGUAUUUGCCCUCAGUGCCGUAAGGGAUUAUUAUUAUAAGGGCAUUAUGCUAAUCUAUGUCAGUCCAAGUAUGAUUUUGAAGGGCGUCCAAUAUGAGGAAGUAGGACCCAAAGCACAGAGGGACACCAUGCCAUGACACAAAUGCCCCAGCUGAUGCCUCAGAGAAGAACAUAGCAAGCCUCAGCCCAGCUGCCGUCCUAAGCAGCCUUCACCAGACCACAAGCAGCCCUAACUGGACCGUCACCGACCUACAACCCGCCACAUCGGAGAGUGGAGAACCGGACCUGACAACCUCCAAAACAGUAGUAUUAUGUCAAAAACGCCAAUCACUUGUUUUAAAACUUUUAUUAAGUUUAAUAGUAUAACAGUAAUAAAAUAGUUUAACAGUAAUAAAAAAUAGAGCAGUAAGAAUUUAGACAAUCAGAGUUAGGACCUUAAAGGACAAUAAAACAAAGAAUUAUGGACAUCCGAUGUUCUCGGGCAGUAAGCGACGAAAAGCAUGCUUUGUGAACCAAGAAUUAACCCUUAAAGGCAAUAGUCUGUUGCAUAUUCAUAUAUCUCAUACAUGAUGCAUAAAUUCUGUCGAAACAAAGAACUCUGAUCAGUGUCAGUGUCUUCCUCUUAAUCCUGUGGCAUCUUCAGGGCUGAGCGAGGCAGGAGGAAGUUAAUUUCUUCUGAUAAGGGAGCCAUAAAUUCUUUUUAUCUGGAAGAUUUAGGUGUCCUGUGGCUGCUAUCUUGAUGCAAGUACCUCACUCCUUUCUUCCCAUGUACAUAGUUGCUAUUUUAACUACAAAAGCUCCAUUGUAACUACAAAACUACAUUUACCAUAGUAUUAAAAUCUUAAUACAGCACUACUAAUCAAUAUAACAUAAUACAUACAGUAAAUAUAUGUGUAGAGACAUAUAAGCAUUUUUCACACAUUAUUUGAUUCAUCUGUUUGCCUCCCACAGGAAGCACCACCAGGUGCUUAUCAGACCACCAGGACAGUGUAGGCAUGCAUUGCUUUAAGGCAAAUCAUACACUUCAAUACCGGGGUUGUUUGUUCUCCCUGAGGCUAUUGACUGUG